CCUACGGGUGGCAGCAGUAGGGAAUAUUGCUCAAUGGGGGAAACCCUGAAGCAGCAACGCCGCGUGGAGGAUGAAGGUUUUCGGAUUGUAAACUUCUUUUGUUAGAGAAGAUAAUGACGGUAUCUAACGAAUAAUCCCCGGCCAACUCCGUGCCAGCAGCCGCGGUCCUACGGAGGGUGCAAGCGUUAUCCGGAAUCACUGGGCGUAAAGCGCGCGUAGGCGGGAUAGCAAGUCAGAUGUGAAAUCCUCUGGCUUAACCAUAGAACUGCAGUUGAAACUGUUAGUCUAGAGUAUGGGAGAGGUAGGUGGAAUUCGUGGUGUAGGGGUAAAAUCCGUAGAGAUCAAGAGGAAUACUGAUUGCGAAGGCGACCUGCUAGAACGUAACUGACGCUGCUGCGCGAAAGCGUGGGGAGCAAACAGGAUUAGAUACCCGGGUAGUC
rnacentral:rRNA from 1 species